rnacentral:rRNA from 1 species
GACGAACGCUGGCGGCGUGCCUAACACAUGCAAGUCGAGCGGAGAUGAUGUGAGGAAGUUUUCGGAUGGAAUCACAUUAUUUUAGCGGCGGACGGGUGAGUAACGCGUGAGCGACCAACCUUGCACAGGGGGAUAACGGACCGAAAGGUUCACUAAUACCGCAUGAGACCACGGUGUUGCAUGACACAGGGGCCAAAGGAGCAAUCUGGUGCAAGACGGGCUCGCGUCCGAUUAGGUAGUUGGGGGGGUAACGGCCCACCAAGCCUAUGAUCGGUAGCCGACCUGAGAGGGUGAUCGGCCACAUUGGAACUGAGAUACGGUCCAAACUCCUACGGGAGGCAGCAGUGGGGAAUAUUGGGCAAUGGGGGAAACCCUGACCCAGCAACGCCGCGUGAAGGAAGAAGGUUUUCGGAUUGUAAACCUCUGUCCUUGGUGAAGAGAAGAAGACGGUAGCCAAGGAGGAAGCCCCGGCUAACUACGUGCCAGCCGCCGCCGUAA